GGUAGUCUUCCCAGGUGUUCUAGUUAGUUGUUUAGUAAAUUUGACUUCAAUAACGAGCUUUUGUUAUGGUAGGCGCGGCAGGGCGCGCGAAUUUAAGCGCAAGUGAGUGGUGACUCGGGGCUCACUCAGGCGGAGGCUAUGCGUCUCACCUGUGGUCACGAGUUGUUAGUUCGUUCGUGAUGUAGGAAUUCAGGCUCACUCAGGCGGAGGCUAUGCGUCUCACCUGUGGUCACGAGUUGUUAGUUCGUUCGUGAUGUAGGAAUUCAAGCUUUCGGGCGGAAGCUAUGGUCGACGCCAGAGGCCCCGAGUCGUUUAAUUUAAGUUAGGUCAUAAUGUAGUCGUCAAGCUUUCGGGCGGAGGCUAUGGCCCUCGUCAGGGGUCACGCGUCAUAGUUUUUAAAAUGUAAUGUUCGUUCGGGAUUUCAAGGGCAGGAGAGGCCCCUACGUUAUUUUUUUUAAAGUAAUCGAUCAAGAAAGGCUUUUCGGAAAAUGUGAGUAUGGACUUAUCUUUGUUUUAAUUUUAAGUAUUAAUUAUGAUUUGAGGUAUUCGGAAGGACUAGGGAAGUGUUUAGUGAAGUUCUCUCAUUCUCUCUCUUGUAAGGUCGUUCAAUCGUUAAGGAAGUAAAGAGAUUAUUGUUUUAAAUUGUAAUCCCGCUAUUUAAAUGUUCUUUAAAAUGAUGUUGAGUAUUUGACUUUAAGAAUAAAAUAAUUUUAAUUAAGUAUUAUGUUAUUUUGCAAAAUCUCCUUAGUUCAGCUCUCACCAGACAUCCUGUACGGGAUGACGAACCUAUGAUCCUAGGUACAGUAAAGUAUUUUAUGAAGUUAAGACUAGUUGAUGCCAAGCGAGUUGUUUCUAUGUAAAGAGCUACGAUUCUCUCCCCCCUCUGAAAGUGAGACGUGACAGAAAUGGCGGUGGCACCGGCUAGGUGCACGUGACAGAAAUGGUGGAGGCGCCGGGUAAGUUCUAUUUCUGGAGAGAGAGAGAGGUAGAUUUUUAUGUUUAUUAUUAAGUUAGUUUCAGCUUCUGAUAGCAGGUUAUUAAGAGUUUACUUGAGGAGAGGAUUACGGAAUUUUAGUCUAUAGUGGAGGAAGUCUUUGAGAUUUUUUUUUUGACGUAACAGAUGUUUAUUUGAGUAUACUUGUAAGGAUAAAGUUUAUAGUGAUAAGUUGUUUUAAGUCGUUGAAUUUAUUGUAGAUUUAUAUCGGGGAUUAUUACGUGAGGAGAAUACGUUAUAAGUUAAAUGCUUAUUAGAGAUAAUGCAAGUGGUUUAAUUUAAUUGAAAUUAAUUUUAAGAUUGUAGGUUAAGAGAAUUAUAAUUUAAAAUAAAGUUUUUUGUCGUAAAUAGGAAUUAUUUUCAAGUGAAGUUUGUUUUGUUUUCGUGCGCGUAGGAGACGAGACGUACGAAUUAAAUCAGUCGAGGGAAGGAUAAACGUUAGAAAGGAAUUAAAGAGAAAACGAGAGUUUAUGUAAAAGAGAGUUAUAGAAUUUAUAGUGAUGUUUUGUUUUAAUUAGAAAAAUGUUGAGAGUUGUUUCAGAACGACACGUCAGUGGACGUGGCAGAGUGAACACGUGACGGGGAGGUGCUGAGACCUAGCGGAGAACGGAGGAACCGCAAGCGAGGGUUGGCGCACCUGAUGGAAUUCGGUGACGUCACGGGCUCAUAAGGAGACGUGGACAGGCCGUGACCUUGUUUUGAUCAGCUGUACGGUAACUUAGCGAUAAGAAAAUAGACUAUUGGUUAAAUAAAUUUAAAUUUAAGUGUGUUUUAGGAGAAGAGGAACUUUCAGUAUAUUCCUUAAGAUGAGCUGAGCAGCAGUCCAGUUUACAAGAUGACAAGAGUUCGAGAGACAAGAUACAAGAUCACUGAAACAAGAGCCAAGACUGAAGAUUCAAGAGAAGAGAAAGCUGGCAGCCAUGGACUUACAAGUGGAGAUUAAUAAGGUCAUGUAAAGUUUUAUUUUUUUUAUGGAAGACAGUAACUGGAGUUUUUUUUUUGUUAUAAACAUUAUUUACAGAACUUUUUAGGUUAUAGUAAUGUAAUGGAACUAGUGAGUUGUGGUAGCUGUCAAAAAGAACUAAUACCUUAAGUUUAAUUUUUAAAGUUAAUUUUCUUAAUUUACAGAGGGAUUAGUAGUUUUUUUUAAACCUUAUUUAGGUUGGAAUUUAAAUACAAUAGCUUAUUAUAAAUGUGUACGAACAGUUCAAGUUCACAGUACUGAUAGGUAGGUCAGAUGAUCUUAUUGAUUUUGAUGAUUUGUUGUUUUGAGUUGAUUUUUAAGUGUUGUGAAUUAGACAAUGAAAUAGUUCUGAAAACUUAAAUUAUUUCAAGCUAAGAAAUAGUAAAGUUAAUUGUAACUCAAAGGACACCAGAAUUUAAUUUUUUUUUGAAUUAGUAAUGUUUGAAAAUUUUAUACUUUACAAGAAAGGUUAUAAACAAACAGAUCGGAUGGAACAAGGAUGCAGUAAAUCACAAUUUCAUUUAGAAUUAUUGAUUAGCUUUUGAGGUUAUGAAGUAAAAGUAAUUAUAGUUUAAAAGUUUGAAUAAAAAAAAAUGUUUUUUUUUUAUUUGUUUGAAAUAGAAAGUUUAAAAGUUAAUUAGUCAUGAUCUAGGUGGGUGAUGGGGUGGGAAUUGGCCACUCGUUUUCCCUAUAACCUCCCUAACAUGGCCUUCUAUUACAACUAACAGAAAUAAAGAAGAAGAAAAAUGAAGAAUUAUUAGUUAGAAUGUUUCUUUCAUGAAGAUACCUGAUGAACUUUUACUGUCUGGAAGAAUAGAAGCAAGGUUAGUCAGAUAUUUUUACUCAGAAGAAGAAGAAGAUAAAGCAGUUUUAUGACUCGACAAGCCAGAGAUUGGUGUUUCCCCUCUGCGCUUCUAUUGACUACGUUGUUUACUCUCAUGGGAUAGCUGGUUCGGCACCAUGGAGAGAGAUUGGUGGGCAUUGUGGUUGCCCCCAGAAGAAAAGAAGAGUAGAAGAGGUUAUGGGUGGGUCAUGUGAACUGACCUUCAACCCAGUUACUUCGUGGGGACUAUUUGCUGUAUAGAGAAGAUCAAGACUCAAGAGUUAGGGAAAAUCAUUGGAGGUCAUGUUUCCCUUCCUUAAGUUUUUCCUAUCAAAUUAUUUGCCUGAUUAGAUUAUGCUAAGGGUGGGAUACUUUAUGUUAGCAGUUGAAUUAAUUAAUUUUAUUUUUUUGUGUGUUUGCAUCCUUGCCCAUCGAUUGCAGUUUAGUAGUUAGUUUUGUAUUUGUCAGGCGUGAUGGUAAUGCCUGUUGAUGAUGUUUCAGAAUUGUAAUCUGUUCGUGAUGAGGAUGGCACAACUCCGAAGCAGAUGUGGGGAGAAGUUGUGAGCUGCCCUGGAAGCCAGUCCAGUAGCUGUUGGAGUUGAGUGGUGUUUGCUGAUGGCCAGCCCAGGGAGCUACUCUUCUCGACAACACUGACUUCGAGGAGUUGCACCAACCUUCACGAGAUAAGAGUUUAAUUAAUUUGAAACACUGAUAAUUUUGUAAGGACACUUAAUUUUUUUUGAAGAACGAAAGAAGUAUGGUAAUAAACGGAAACCGAAAAAAAAAAA